AACGAACGCUGGCGGCAGGCUUAACACAUGCAAGUCGAACGCACCGCAAGGUGAGUGGCAGACGGGUGAGAAACGCGUGGGAACCUUCCCUGUGGUACGGAAUAACUUCGGGAAACCGAAGCUAAUACCGUAUAUCCCCUCCGGGGGAAAGAUUUAUCGCCAUAGGAUGGGCCCGCGUUGGAUUAGCUAGUUGGUGAGGUAAUGGCUCACCAAGGCGACGAUCCAUAGCUGGUCUGAGAGGAUGAUCAGCCACAUUGGGACUGAGACACGGCCCAAACUCCUACGGGAGGCAGCAGUGGGGAAUAUUGGACAAUGGGCGCAAGCCUGAUCCAGCCAUGCCGCGUGAGUGAAGAAGGCCUUAGGGUUGUAAAGCUCUUUCGCUAGGGACGAUAAUGACGGUACCUAGAUAAGAAGCCCCGGCUAACUUCGUGCCAGCCGCCGCCGUAAUAC
rnacentral:rRNA from 1 species